rnacentral:lncRNA from 1 species
GCACGACUUCCCCCGGCCCGCGGCCUGUGAGCCCAGGUCCUGGGGUGAACCGAGCGCUCGCUCGUUCGUCAGACCGUAGCGCUCCAGCGGCUGUCCUUACUGUGUAGUAGCCAAAGCUGAGGGUGAUGACUGUGAACCAGAACAGACUGCCUCGCUGAAAAGUCACUUGGAACUCUUCUGUGGCAUCUGAAGCAGAUGGACGAAGCCAAGAGGGCCGAGAGUAUCUCAGCACCUAGAAAUGGACAAGGCUGGUUAUUAGAACAAAGAUUUCGCAGGUGGAUCUCCCAUUAACCAGUCAUAAUGAAGUAAGAACAAGAAGAUGGGGAAGAGGAAGUGUAAAACCGUGGCUUAAAUUUGCCAAGGAUAAGCUGAGUGUACUUCAGCAGUCAUUUGCACAGAAUCCUUAUCCUAAUUUUACAACCAGGGAAAAACUGGCUGGACAGUCUCUUGUCCUGUGUUUGUAAUUGAUAACUGGUUUCAAAAUAAAAGCCAGACCACCACUUAGAGAGAGACACAGAAUGUUCACUGCCAGGGAACUGCAUGAUUCCUCUGCCAAAGGCCACCCAUUUACAAGAAUCCAGGAAAACCAGGUGGAAUCUCCCAAUGAUGACCCUGAGCAGAACUUCUUGUACCCAGGAAGUUCUACUGGGUGGAGCUGGCCACUCUUCCGUGGAGACACAGGGGACUCCCAAUUAACAUGAUGGCUCAAAUAACUGUAGCCUUAUGGAUUAAAAGGAAACUAAGCUGUGAUUUGGAGUAUCCAGGUGAUACAGAAAAUGGCCCUUGUCGAUGUAGAUCAGCAUUAUUUCCUUAUCCUUCUGCAUCUCCUCCUCAGUAUUCUGAAAGGGACAAGCCUGAGAUGGGGGAAAGCCAGCAUGCAAGGCCCUCCCCUUUGUGCUGUGUUCAUGGUGUGCACGGAGAGAGGCAGCAGCAGGAGGAACAGAAAGGUUAUUUUCUUUACUGACUCUUUCAAGGACAUCAGCAGAAUGGUUGGGAAUGUCAUCAUGAGCAGCCUCAGCCUCAGAAUUACCAGGAGAAGCUGGUCUUCCAGGAUCAGGUUCUAAUGUAUAUGAGUCACAGGAUUUAGGGAAGCAGGCACUUUCCCUUCAGUCCCAGCAGCAUGGUUGAUGUUCCCAAGUAAUGGAGAGUCCCUGUGCUCUCAGUUGUGGCACACACCUUUGCAAAUAGUGAUCAGAUCUCCACAAACGCCUCUUGGGUAAGAUAUGCAGCAACAUAGCUGGCUGCAGAGCAACCCAGUUCCCAAAUCCAGCAGCUCUUGGAUGAGAAGUCUGCAAGUGUUUACUGCUGGGACCAGGACUGUGUUUCUAGGAAAUGGUGCUAGGCUUCAGAGAGCAUCAUCCACAGGUCAUCCCACAACCAUCCACACAGAAGCCUGAGGAAAAGGGCUCUGCAGAGCUUGCACAUAAAGAUGCUGAACUCAGGAAGGCUCUGUGAGCUGCUGGUCUCUUCUGGUAGGGCAGCAGUGUCCUGAGAAGGUGGAGCUAGAGUAUGGAGAACAAAACUAACAAGCACCAAGGCAGCAAGCAAGGCAACCCCCAAAUGACAGCAGUUGCCAAAUCCAAAGCAAUCUGUGCUUCAGAAGACAGAGGCUCUGCACAGUCCCUGUCUCAGACAUUGUCUCCUCCUUAGAAGAUACCUAACAACAGCACUGUGGGAGGCUGAGGUGGGUGGAUCACCAGGUCAGGAGAUCAAGACCAUCCUUGAUCUUUAGUAGAGACGGUGAAACACUGUCUCUACUAAAAAAUACAAAAAAAAAUUAGCUAGCCGUGGCGGCGGGCACCUGUAGUCUCAACUAUUUGGGAGGCUGAGGCAGGAGAAUGGCCUGAACCCGGGAGGCAGAGCUUGCAGUGAGCUGAGAUUGCGCCACUGCACUCCAGCCUGGGCAACAGAGUGAGACUCCAUCUCAAAAAAAAAAAAAAA